GUUUCAAUACCUCAUAGGUAGGCUACGAAC
rnacentral:other from 1 species